UACGUAUGGUGCAAGCGUUAAUCGGAAUUACUGGGCGUAAAGCGUGCGUAGACGGUUAUUUAAGUCAGGUGUGAAAGCCCCGGGCUCAACCUGGGAAUUGCAUUUGAGACUGAAUAGCUAGGGUGCGGAAGAGGGAAGCGGAAUUUCCGGUGUAGCGGUGAAAUGCGUAGAUAUCGGAAGGAACACCAGUGGCGAAAGCGGCUCCCUGGUCCAGCACCGACGUUCAGGCACGAAAGCGUGGGGAGCAAACGGG
rnacentral:rRNA from 1 species